CUUUGGCCCUCUGGCCUGGUUCUCAGAGACAAGGCGGGGGGGUGGGGGGACGAGAAUGUUCGUUGCUGGAGAAACGCUCCAGUUCGAUGUCAUUUGAGUUCCUAUUACGUCCAGGCCACCCUGUUUUUGCUCUAAACGAGACAGACUGAACUUGUCAGCCCUUGAUGGGGAGUUGCUCGUUAAGCACAUGUACACAGCUGGAAUUAGCAGUAUCGCGGACCAGAGUUGCCAUUUCUGUAGCAAAAGCUGCUAAGCAGUCUUCUGUUGCUUUCUGUCUUAAUUAUGAUCAGAUGCUGCGCUAAGAAAAGCAGCUCUGAGAGCCACGGUUGGGAGCUGGCCUGGAUGCCCUGAUGAACGUAAGCAGUGCCGUGGAAUAUUAACGUUAGAAUGAGUUCUCUCUCUGACAAAGAAGAAGAAAAUAAGACCACUUUAAUUCUGCAUGAACAGAUAAAAACAGACACUGUGCAAGCACAGAGAUGACCAAACAUCCCAUCCCCAGCUAACGAGAAAUUAUGAAGAAAGGACAAAGGGCAGGAAUAACUGCAGGUGGUUAUCCCAAUAUUCAGAAGAGUGGGAGCAUGAAGGAAACCUUGUUAACACUUUUAGGUCAAAAACCUUGAAAUUCAACAUUAUGAACUCCUAUUAUGAAGAUAAAAAUCUCAAAGUUGUUCCAGUUUUGUAAGAUAACAUCUGGGUUUGUUUGUUGUUGUUGUUGUUGUUUUAUAAAUAAAGUAGUCAA